CAGUCGCCACGGUGAUACGGAGGGUGCAAGCGUUAAUCGGAAUUACUGGGCGUAAAGCGCACGCAGGCGGUUUGUUAAGUCAGAUGUGAAAUCCCCGAGCUUAACUUGGGAACUGCAUUUGAAACUGGCAAGCUAGAGUCUUGUAGAGGGGGGUAGAAUUCCAGGUGUAGCGGUGAAAUGCGUAGAGAUCUGGAGGAAUACCGGUGGCGAAGGCGGCCCCCUGGACAAAGACUGACGCUCAGGUGCGAAAGCGUGGGGAGCAAACAGGAUUAGAUACCCGCGUAGUCCCUGUCUCUUAUAC
rnacentral:rRNA from 1 species